rnacentral:rRNA from 1 species
GAGUUUGAUCAUGGCUCAGGACGAACGCUGGCGGCGUGCUUAACACAUGCAAGUCGAGCGGGGUUUAUCGGAUUAGCUUGCUAAACUGAUAAACCUAGCGGCGGACGGGUGAGUAACGCGUGAGCAAUCUGCCUCAUACAGGGGGAUAACAGGUGGAAACACCUGCUAAUACCGCAUAAGACUCCACUACCGCAUGGUAGAGAAGUCAAAGGGAUUACCGGUAUGAGAUGAGCUCGCGUCCCAUUAGCUAGUUGGUAGGGUAAAGGCCUACCAAGGCGACGAUGGGUAGCCGACCUGAGAGGGUGAUCGGCCACACUGGGACUGAGACACGGCCCAGACUCCUACGGGAGGCAGCAGUGGGGAAUAUUGCACAAUGGAGGGAACUCUGAUGCAGCAACGCCGCGUGAGUGAAGAAGGUUUUCGGAUCGUAAAACUCUGUCAUUGGGGAAGAAUAAAUGACGGUACCCAAUGAGGAAGCCCCGGCUAACUACGUGCCAGCAGCCGCGGUAAUACGUAGGGGGCGAGCGUUGUCCGGAAUUACUGGGCGUAAAGGGUACGUAGGCGGCUAUAUAAGUCAGGUGUGAAAUACCAGUGCUUAACACUGGAAUUGCAUUUGAAACUGUGUAGCUUGAGUGCAGGAGAGGAAAGUGGAAUUCCUAGUGUAGCGGUGAAAUGCGUAGAGAUUAGGAGGAACACCAGUGGCGAAGGCGACUUUCUGGACUGUAACUGACGCUGAGGUACGAAAGCGUGGG